UACAUACAUACAUACAUACAUACGCACACAUAAAUAAAACAAUAAUAGUGCAAAAAGACAAAACCAAUGUCCCCAAGUCUAAGUAGUUCAGACCUUAUUUGCAUGUGUAGGAAGGAACUGUAGAUGUUGGUUUAAACUGCAGAUAGACACAAAAGCUGGAGUAACUUAGCGGGAUCGGCAGCAUUUCUGGAGAAAAGGAAUGGGUGAUUCCUUCUCUCGUGAGAUGCUGCCUGUCCCGCUGAGUUACUCCAGCUUUUUGUGUCUAUCUUUGUUUUAAACCAGCACCUGCAGCUCCUUCCGACACAUUGUCCACUCCAAUGCAAAAUCUUCUCAAGUUAUGUCAACUUUAAAGAAGUUCUCCUCUCUCCGACGAGAGUUCUGCAACAUCCUCUUGAAGAAGGGUCCAGUAAAAGCACCACAUUUUCCCUUUUUUAUUUAUUUUCCUCCACUUUUGUUCUUUUGAUACGACAACUUGCGGUUGCCCGACAACAAUAUAGAAUCUACUCCUGUAACUAUUGGUAGUAAAAUUAAACAGACUCACCCGUUUAGGAGCCAUAUUGUUGAUCAUCCUGUGUAGUAUCUUGCCGACUGCGAUAAUUGUACAAGGAAAUUUUGUGCUAUUUAAUGCCCUACCCAUAGCCUGAUUCUGGUUCUACUCAGAUAGACAAGGCACACAGUAAAACAGCUGGUUGAUCAGUGGUGAGUCUAUCGAACCAUAUAACAAUACACAGAUAGACACAGACACAAAUUAAAACAGCUCGUAGAUCAGUGGUGAGUCUAUCGAACAAAUUGGUUUAUUGAAGGCCUUAACUGUGCUCACUGGGAUUACUCUGGGUUCUCUCAGAGUGUUUUCUAGAGCGUACAAUUAAAGCCUUCAAUAAAGCAACUUGUUCGAUAGACUCACCACUGAUCUACGAGCUGUUUUAAUUUGUGUCUGUGUCUAUCUGAGUAAAGCCAGAUACAGGAUACAGGGUGUUCAAGAAGGAACUGCAGAUGCUGGAAGAUCGAAGGUACACAAAAUUGCUGGAGAAACUCAGCGGGUGCAGCAGCAUCUAUGGAGCGAAGGAAAUAGGCGACGUUUCGGGCAGAAGCCCUUCUUUCGGGCCUGAUUUAUGAUCCUAUGAGGCGGCAAUAAUUCAAUGCAAAGCAGAACAAUUCAAGAUAGACACAAAAUACUCGAGUAACGAACAUGUUUCCUCUCCCUGACUCUCAGUUUGCUGAAUGGUCACAACUCGAAACGUCACCUAUUCCUUUUUUCCAGAUAUGCUGCCCGAACCGCUGAGUUACUCCAGCAUUUUGUGUCUAUCUUCAGAACAAUUCAAGGUCAAGGUGGAGCUUAUGUGAAGGAACUUUACGAAUAUCGUCAGUUACUUCAUUGAAAACCUGCAAGUAAUUCACUAAUGUUUUGCCACGUUUCUCAAGGAAAGUGGGGAAGUUUGCAAAAUUGGAAGUAAUAAAUACAAGAUCUCGGUGGAGGGACUUUUUCUGCAAGAUUUCACUGACGAUCCUGACUGCAGCAGAUUCUCCUUCUUCAAAACAGCUGACGAUUUCUUUUAUCGUUUCAAAAUUUGCAGCAUUAUAGAGUACAGAGGAGCCAUGUACCUCACCUAGUCAAAACGGGCCGAGGAGGUAGCGGAAUCUCGGGUGCCAUUUCCUUGAACAACUGCACACGUGAUGGUGCUUUGAGGAAGAUUUUCUUGACAUUGGAAACUAGGCGAUUGACAUUUGGAAACAAGCUACGUAUGUGCUUGGCAAUUCUAUGAAGUCCUUGAGCUAAGCAUGUCAAAUGUAACAUUUUGGGGAAUAAAACUAAGUCACAAACAGAA